rnacentral:rRNA from 1 species
AGCAGCCGCGGUAAUUCCAGCUCCAAUAGCGUAUAUUAAAGUUGUUGCAGUUAAAAAGCUCGUAGUUGAAUUUCGGGGUCAGUAGGUCGGUCGUGCCACAGGUAUGCACUGGUCUCACCGAUUCCUCCUUCCUGAUGAACCGUAAUGCCAUUAAUUUGGUGUUGCGGGGAAACUGGACUGUUACUUUGAAAAAUUAGAGUGUUUAAAGCAGGCUAACGCUUGAAUACAUUAGCAUGGAAUAAUGAAAUAGGACGUUCGAUUCUAUUUUGUUGGUUUCUAGGAUUGACGUAAUGAUUAAUAGGGAUAGUUGGGGGCAUUAGUAUUCAAUUGUCAGAGGUGAAAUUCUUGGAUUUAUUGAAGACUAACUACUGCGAAAGCAUUUGCCAAGGAUGUUUUCAUUAAUCAAGAACGAAAGUUAAGGGGAUCGAAGACGAUCAGAUACCGUCGUAGUCUUAACCAUAAACUAUGCCGACUAGGGAUCGGAUGAUGUUAAUUUUAAUGUACUCAUUCGGCGUCCUUA